CCAUGUGGAAGAAUUCAAAAUAACAUAUGUAGGUACUCCGCUCUUAAGAAGGUGAACUGUAACUCUCCACUCUGUGAAUGUGAGCUGCACAUAGUGACCUCUUUCCAAGGAGUGAGUAAGGUAUAGAAAGGAAAAUACAAUCUCGAGGCCCCAGACUCACUGUGCCAAGGGAAAAGUUAAGUCUGUUGAGUCAGGCAAAACUGCCUCCCAUUUUCUUCCUAAAUAGGUAACUGCAAAGACAGAAGCCACAUACCUUCCCAGGGGGCUUCCCUCACAAUGUCCUCACAAGGACAUUCUUUCUGGGCCCCAAGAUCUUUACCCUAAAACGGAGUUCUGUUGAAUUUCAUCCCGACAAUGUAAAUUAACAGCUUCUUUUCACAGGUAAAAGACAGGACAGAGACAGGAACAGAAGUCAUCCAUCUGCUCACCGGAGACUGAAGCAUAUUUGGCUGCUUCCUCUACUCUAUGUUUACUUUCUUUCAUGCAAAAACGCAGAUUCACUGAGCAGACCAAUGCCUCUGCCUGCUCCUUUCUUUUUGUUUUUUGUUUGUUCUUUUUGUUUUGUUUUGUUUUGUUUGUUUGUUUUGGUGGACUCUCGCUCUGUUGCCCAGGCUGUAGUGCAGUGGCAAGAUCUCGGCUCAUUGCAAGCUCCACCUCCUGGGUCUAAGCGAUUCUCCUGCCUCAUCCUCCUAAGUAGCUGAGAUUACAGGCGCCCACCACCACGCCCCGCUAAUUUUUGUAUUUUUAGUAGAGCCGGGGUUUCACCGUGUUGGUCUGGCUGGUCUUGAACUCCUGACCUUGUGAUCUGCCCACCUCGCCCUCCCAAAGUGCUGGGAUUAAAGGCGUGAGCCACCACACCCAGCCUCUGCCCACUCCUUUCACAUGUACAAGGGUUCACAUAGCCUAAUCAUGAAAAAGACACCAGACAAAUUCCAAUUGAAGGACAUUCUAGAGAAUACCUGACCAGAACUCCUCAAACCUGUCAAGAUGAUCAAAACCAAGGAAAAUCACAGACACUGUCAUGACCAAAAGGAGCCUAUGGAGACACAGCUACUAAAUAUAAUGUGGUUUCCUGGAUGGGAUCCUGGAAAGAGCCCAAGGGAAACAUAGCCAUGGGACAUCUUUCUUCAAUGAAGUCUACAUUUACAGCAACCAAGCGCACACAACUCCAUUUCCUGUUUAUGUAAGAUUCAUUCACGUGACAACUGAUUACCAAAAGACUGUAUUGGGGCAAACCUCAUGUUUUUUGUGUCUUGUCAUUCUAUAGGGAGGGAAAUGUCUCUUGCCUAAUACUUCACUUUGUUCCAUGCCCACUGUGUUCCAUAGUUUGGGAAAGCAUACUUUAAAUCCAGCGUGGGAUCUGUUUGAGUGAUCCCUGGAUUUGUAUUGGUUUUGUUUUCUGAAGCAGGUUUGUCUUAGUGGGUGCCCUUUAGAGAUCACUUUUGUUAUAAAAUGAACCAAGAUUAAUAGCCAGCUCCAUGUCAUGUGUUUGCAUGUCUUCAGCUGACGAAUUUCAAAUGACCUUCUUGUUCUGCCAAUACAUUGUGGAGAUACCAUCACUGAAAGCCGGCCCUUGCUACUGCUGACUCUGUCAUAUGGGGAAGGGGACAGUGUGUAAUUCUGCCUGUGGUAAUCUGCUUGUGGCAGUGAUUUUAUAGCCUGCAAACUUUUGCUUAUUGUACCCAGAUGUUGUAUGAUACUUUGCCAAAAAUACAUCUUUUAAAGAAUCUGUCUUAACUCUUUGUUUUGAGAUAAUUUUAUGCUUACAAUAUUUGUCUCAUCAUGUUCUCUCUCUGUCUCUGUAUGUAAACAUUUUUGAACCAUUUGAGAGUAAGUUGCAAAGAAAAUACGCCAUUACCUUAGUGUACAAUUCCUAAAAAUAAGGGUAUUUUCUUACAAAACCAGAGUACAAUUUUCAAAAUCAGAACAUUUAUGUAAGUGCAGUUCUAUUAUCUAAUACAUAGACUUUAGUCAAGUUUUGUAAUUUUUUACUGGCCCAGGAUCAAUCUGGUAUUCAUGUUGCCCUUGGUUUUCUUGUCUCA
rnacentral:lncRNA from 1 species